UACGUAGGCAGCGAGCGUUGUUCGGAGUUACUGGGCGUAAAGCGUGCGUAGGCGGUUUUGUAAGUUUGGUGUGAAAUCUCCCGGCCCAACUGGGAGGGUGCGCCGAAAACUGCAAGGCUGGAGUGUGGGAGAGGUAGGCGGAAUUCCUGGUGUAGCGGUGAAAUGCGUAGAUAUCAGGAGGAACACCUGUGGUGUAGACGGCUUACUGGACCAUGACUGACGCUGAGGCACGAAAGCGUGGGGAGCAAACAGG
rnacentral:rRNA from 1 species